UAGUUUUGUCCAGAGUCAAAUUAUUCUAUGUUUGACCAAAUCUAUAGAGAAAAGUAUUAACAUUUAUGACACAAAACAGGUAUAUUAUGAAAAUAUAUUUCAUGAUGAAUCUAAUGAUGCCUAUUUGGUAUCAUAAAUAUUGGUAUAAUUUUAUAUAAAUUUGGUCAAACUUAAAAUAGUUUGACUUUGGACAAGACUAA
rnacentral:pre_miRNA from 1 species